UACGAAGGGGCUAGCGUUGUUCGGAUUACUGGCGUAAAGCGCACGUAGGCGGUUGUUAAGUCAGGGUGAAUCCACAGCUCAACUGUGGAACUGCCUUUGAUACUGGCAAGCUAGAGUCCGGAAGAGGUAAGUGGAACUCCUAGUGUAGAGGUGGAAUUCGUAGAUAUUAGGAAGAACACCAGUGGCGAAGGCGGCUACACUGGCCGGUACUGACGCUGAGGAGCGAAAGCGUGGGAGCGAACAGG
rnacentral:rRNA from 1 species